rnacentral:rRNA from 1 species
AGUAACACGUGGAUAAUCUGCCCCAAAGAUGGGGAUAACUACGGGAAACUGUAGCUAAUACCGAAUGUGAACCGGAUGUCAUAUGGCAACCGGUUUAAAGGUGUCCUCUACAUGUAAGCUAUCACUUUGGGAUGAGUCCGCGUACUAUUAGCUUGUUGGUAGGGUAACGGCCUACCAAGGCUACGAUGGUUAGCCGAUCUGAGAGGAUGACCGGCCACAUUGGGACUGAGAUACGGCCCAGACUCCUACGGGAGGCAGCAGUGGGAAUUUUCCGCAAUGGACGCAAGUCUGACGGAGCGACGCCGCGUGAGGGAUUAAGGCUUUCGAGUUGUAAACCUCUUUCGACAGGGAAGAAUAAGAUAUGGUCAAAUAGGCCAUAACGAUGACGGUACCUGGAGAAGAAGCACCGGCUAAAUUCGUGCCAGCAGCCGCGGUAAUACGAAUGGUGCAAGCGUUGUUCGGAUUUAUUGGGCGUAAAGGGCGCGCAGGCGGUUAUGUAAGUCAACAGUCCAACUCCACGGCUCAACUGUGGAUUAUCUGCUGAAACUGCAUGGCUUGAGUAUAGGAGAGGAAAGUGGAAUUCUUGGUGUAGCGGUGAAAUGCGUAGAUAUCAAGAGGAACGUCAGUGGCGAAGGCUACUUUCUGGACUAUUACUGACGCUGAGGCGCGAAAGCAUGGGUAGCAAACAGGAUUAGAUACCCUGGUAGUCCAUGCCGUAAACGAUGGGUACUUGGUGGUGGGAGCUCACUCUCGCUGCCGGAGUUAACGCGUUAAGUACCCCGCCUGGGGAGUACGGUCGCAAGGCUGAAACUCAAAGGAAUUGACGGGGGCCCGCACAAGCGGUGGAGCAUGUGGUUCAAUUCGAUGAUACGCGAGGAACCUUACCUGGGCUUGACAUGGGAGCUUCCAUUUUUGGAAGUUAGUCUAAUGAAAGUUAGAUGAAUCCACACAGGUGCUGCAUGGCUGUCGUCAGCUCGUGUCGUGAGAUGUUGGGUUAAGUCCCGUAACGAGCGCAACCCCUACCCUUAGUUGCCAGCACGUAAUGGUGGGAACUCUAAGGAGACUGCCGGUAACAAACCGGAGGAAGGUGGGGACGACGUCAAGUCCUCAUGGCCCUUAUGCCCAGGGCAACACACGUGCUACAAUGGUCAGUACAACGGGCUGCGAAGUCGCGAGAUGGAGCUAAUCCCUGAAAACUGGCCUCAGUUCGGAUUGGAGGCUGAAAUUCGCCUCUAUGAAGCUGGAAUCGCUAGUAAUCGCGGAUCAGAAUGCCGCGGUGAAUACGUUCCCGGGCCUUGUACACACCGCCCGUCACACCAAUCGAGUUGAGUGCACCCGAAGUCGCCGGUCCAACCCCUUGUGGGAGGAAGGUGCCGAAGGUGUGUUUAGCGAGAGGGGUGAAGUCGUAACAAGGUA